ensembl:lncRNA
UUCCCCUUCAGAGUUUUUCCUUUUGAUGUAAUUUGAUGAGGAAUUAGACUCAUAAUGUUCUGACUAAUAUCCUAGGAGAAGUAUUAGCUUUUGUGCCAAGGGGUCUGUUGUGCUUGUAGAGUAUUGUACUAAUAGAGUAUCAUAGAGCACUGAAAGUAAAAUAACAAUAAAGGUAGAAUAUUCUGGUGGAAUGAAGGGGCACUUUGUGCUAUAGAUAAAGACAUUGAAGGUUACAUGAGGGAAAAAUGUACAUAUUGUGAUACUAAGGGUGAUCUACAAUCCAAACAAACAGAACCAAAAAAUAGAGGCAGAAAUUAAGUCAUAUAAUCACAGAACUGUAGGGGCUGGAAGGGACCUCUAGAGAUCAUUGAGUCCAACCCCCCUGCCAAAGCAGGCUCCCUAGACCAGGUUGCACAGAUAGGAGUUCACGUGAGUCUUGAAUGUCAAUUUACGGCACCAGUUCCAAUUAAGAUAGUGUAUGGGACCCAUUGAAUCACGGCCUGAACAUCUGAUUGACCACCUGAGGCGAGCACUGAGUCAGCCACAGGAGCACAGGUGAAGGCAAUUCAGCUGUGUGACAGGAAGGGGUGGAGCCUGGCUGCAUCUCUCCUAGACCCCAUUUAUGGGCUGACUGCCACUGAGGAGAGUUCUUUCUCUGGAGAUUGCUUGUUGUGGAGUUUUGUGUGCCUACAACACUGAAAAGACAUCACCUUGGAGCCAAACCAGGAUGGCACAUAGCUAUGAGGCUAGCUUCAUUUAUCUGCAUUCAUCUUCAGGUGUAGUUCAUUCCUUAUACUUUGUAUUUUGGUUUAAGACAACCACAAAAUUGUCUCCUAUUUAAGACUAAGACAAUUUUUUCAAGCGUCCCUUUCUUCAAGGAUGGGUGAAAACUUCAGGGUGGUGUAUUGAUUCACCGAGUGCCAAGUGGCCAACUUGAAAUGAGAGGGCGUUUCUCCCCAAGAGCUAUCCCUGUGCUCCUGCCCUCAGUGACAUGGGUUUGUCAGCAGGCUAGGAGCAAUAGAGGGGAAGAGUCUCCCUGUGGGCAUUUAUUAGCCAUAAUCCCUCUGGUACAGAGCGGUGCAGAGGGGGAGAGGUUUGAGACCUCAAGUGUACAGAAAUCAUGCAGAUGCCAUAUGUCCUCCUUCAUUCCAGAGCUUUCACAACUAUGUCUGAAUAGUUGGUUUACCAAAGUGAUGACUCAGGUUCUGCCAGAAAAACCUUGGGUUAGGGAAAGAAGGCCAAUAGCCAUCUCCUUCCUGAUGUCCACUUUCUGCCUGGUAUCUCACCUUCUAGCAGCUCACUUCUGUACUGCCAGAUAUACUCCUAUGGCAGAAGUCAUCAUUUUUAAUUCUGUAUUGAGCCUCUUCAGUUGUAGUGAUGGAGUGUUAUGUCAUAAGGUACAAUUCUGGUUUUGAAACCAAAUCCUAAUGCUCCAAAUGUAUAUGCACACACACUCCAGUUUAGAUGUGUGAACAGAGUUGUGCUUGUUAAAUAUGAGUAUUUCCAGGACUGUUGCCCAGUUCUGCAUUCUAAGAUUAUCCAUUUGCUGUCUUUCCAUCAUAUACAUUGCAGGAAUAGAAAGUUUUCUUUUUCCUAUCUGCCAACCAUGGAAACAGUGAAUGUUGAACUGUAUUCUUCCUACUUAUGAAUCAUCCUCCUCAACCUUGACUCAGCGAUCACAGGGGAACACUUAGGCCGGGGUUAGCAUAUAUUCUUCUGAUCAAGAAGAUUCUGUAGUAUGGUAUUAUAUUACUCAUUUUUUUAAUGAUGCCUAUAUAGAAUCCUACUCAUUAUCUUUCAUCUACGUUAGCUUAAUGGAGCUAAGGGAUUGAAACAGUGGAAAAUUAUUUUUAGUCCUUUGAGACAGAUAGACCUGACAUUAAGUGUGCUAUGAAUGCUGAAGAAAUAAAACUUCGAUAUCUACAGUUAAAGGAAAAUCAAAAUAUAUUGUUUCAAGGUGGCAGCUUUUAGUUACUCUGAGAUAUGGUGUUCUGGCUGGAGGAGAAAGUGUGAGUGUGCUGGAUGUGAGAAGAGUACUCCAAGAGAUUUUAUUCUUUAUUAGCAGUAUGGCUUUUGGAUAUACUGUAAAUAUUUAUAACGAUGAGAAAGAAAGUAUGUUUUGCAUCAAAGGCAAUUAUGCCAGCUAACAGCAUGUUCAGGCUAAGAUAAUUGACUGCACAAUCUUUUAAUACUUUGCCCCUUUCAGACCUGUUGCUUGGAUACCACAUUCUCUGAACUAUUAUGCACCUUGCUGAAAAUUAAAUAAUAAAGAAAAGGUUUUAGCAGCUCCUUUGUCUUUUCCAUACGCUAUACAUUUAAAUAUAUUUUUGGAAGUGUUGUCAAAGAGGGCUGUCUGGCGGCAAAAUACUGAAAGGAACAGUUGGAAAAUCCAACCUGUGUGAAGUCUGAAUUCAAAUCUUAGUUUUCUAGAUAUGUUUUUUGUUUUUCAUGCAAUUUUGUCCUUCCUCUUCUAAGGUAAUAUCACAUUAAGAUGCAAUGAAUAGAUUUUCAAACUGUAGACAUCCUGAAGUAACUGGAUAACUCACCCAGGUAAGUCUCACUCAUCCUACUGAUAAUAGUUUGCUCCUUGCUCACUUUCACUCUCUCUAAAUAGUUCAUCUGAAAGCGUGAGAUUGUGUUUGUUAUUUGAGA